GGCGGCGUGCCUAAUACAUGCAAGUCGAACGAUGAAGCUUCUAGCUUGCUAGAAGUGGAUUAGUGGCGCACGGGUGAGUAAGGUAUAGUUAAUCUGCCCUACACAAGAGGACAACAGUUGGAAACGACUGCUAAUACUCUAUAUUCCUGCUUAACACAAGUUGAGUAGGGAAAGUUUUUCGGUGUAGGAUGAGACUAUAUAGUAUCAGCUAGUUGGUAAGGUAAUGGCUUACCAAGGCUAUGACGCUUAACUGGUCUGAGAGGAUGAUCAGUCACACUGGAACUGAGACACGGUCCAGACUCCUACGGGAGGCAGCAGUAGGGAAUAUUGCGCAAUGGGGGAAACCCUGACGCAGCAACGCCGCGUGGAGGAUGACACUUUUCGGAGCGUAAACUCCUUUUCUUAGGGAAGAAUUCUGACGGUACAUAAGGAAUAAGCACCGGCUAACUCCGUGCCAGCAGCCGCGGUAAUACGGAGGGUGCAAGCGUUACUCGGAAUCACUGGGCGUAAAGGGCGCGUAGGCGGAUUAUCAAGUCUCUUGUGAAAUCUAAUGGCUUAACCAUUAAACUGCUUGGGAAACUGAUAGUCUGGAGUGAGGGAGAGGCAGAUGGAAUUGGUGGUGUAGGGGUAAAAUCCGUAGAUAUCACCAAGAAUACCCAUUGCGAAGGCGAUCUGCUGGAACUCAACUGACGCUAAGGCGCGAAAGCGUGGGGAGCAAACAGGAUUAGAUACCCUGGUAGUCCACGCCCUAAACGAUGUACACUAGUUGUUGGGGUGCUAGUCAUCUCAGUAAUGCAGCUAACGCAUUAAGUGUACCGCCUGGGGAGUACGGUCGCAAGAUUAAAACUCAAAGGAAUAGACGGGGACCCGCACAAGCGGUGGAGCAUGUGGUUUAAUUCGAAGAUACGCGAAGAACCUUACCUGGGCUUGAUAUCCUAAGAACCUCUUAGAGAUAAGAGGGUGCUAGCUUGCUAGAACUUAGAGACAGGUGCUGCACGGCUGUCGUCAGCUCGUGUCGUGAGAUGUUGGGUUAAGUCCCGCAACGAGCGCAACCCACGUAUUUAGUUGCUAACGGUUCGGCCGAGCACUCUAAAUAGACUGCCUUCGGUAAGGAGGAGGAAGGUGUGGACGACGUCAAGUCAUCAUGGCCCUUAUGCCCAGGGCGACACACGUGCUACAAUGGCAUAUACACGGGAACGUAUUCACCGUAGCAUGGCUGAUCUACGAUUACUAGCGAUUCCGGCUUCAUGCUCUCGAGUUGCAGAGAACAAUCCGAACUGGGACAUAUUUUAUAGAUUUGCUCCACCUCGCGGUAUUGCGUCUCAUUGUAUAUGCCAUUGUAGCACGUGUGUCGCCCUGGGCAUAAGGGCCAUGAUGACUUGACGUCGUCCACACCUUCCUCCUCCUUACGAAGGCAGUCUAUUUAGAGUGCUCGGCCGAACCGUUAGCAACUAAAG
rnacentral:rRNA from 1 species